UCCUAAAUCAGUCUGUUUUUUCUUUUGUACUCUUUCCUUGCAGGCUUUUACGUUAAAGAUAUAUAAAAAUGAAUUUCCAGUUCUUCAAGGGAUUUAGUUAAACUAUUCACUCACCACAUCGUGACAGUUAUACUAAAGGACUAACAUAUCUUCUGGAUAUUUUGAUUUGUCAGUUUGGUAAUCACUCUAACAGAAGACUGUUGUGUGUUAGGCAUCGUGCUGAAGUUCUCACUGAGGCAUGUUUUUUCUACCAAGUGCUGACGUGUUCAGUUCAGUCCUGCAACCUAUCGGUUGCAGACUCAUACAAGUUUACCUCUUACCUACCCAGUUGACUGUGAAGGCAGAUAACACAUCUUUGCAACCAAAUGUCAGUUUUGUGGUCACCCUUUUAAAAAGUGCUAUUCCUUCUUGCUUACAUUCUAUUAAAAGGCAGUUUUGUGGAUCUCUCUACAUUUUUUUAAUUUUUUUAUUUUUAAAUUUCCUUUUAUUUAUUUAUUUAUUUAUUUACUUGCUUCUGAGUAAACUUAACUGUGUUUCUCUUUGGUUGCCCAGCUGAACUUGUCCCAUGUAAUCAUUAUAUUCAGCUUCUUGUCAUGUGGCAAAGAAGAUUUAAAAAAUUGGUGAUUUUUCUUGCUUGGAUUCAUACAUGUUAUUGUUCCUAUCAGCACAUUAUGUUACUGUGAAAGGAAAGUUUUGCUUAAUAUUUAUGUGAAGUGUUAUAAAAAUGUAUAACAUGGCAUCUUAAAAAAAUAGUUUCACUUGGAAAAAAUGGAAAAAAAAAAUAAAAAUCAAGCCUUUGCUGUUUUUUUUCCAAUCAGUCCUGAUGCACUGGAAGGACAGAGUGCUGUAGUACUAACUAAGCAAUGUUGCUAUAAAACAAAUUGAAUCUUAAGUGUCCAGGGAAAUAAUUUGCUGUAAAAUUUCAUUCUUCAUAUCCACCAACUUUUUGGGAUGUCUCGCUCUUUCCCUUCACAGGUGUUCGAGUUUAAGGAUGCAAGAACCUGAGAAAAGAGGAUACAAAAAAAAAAAAUCUCCCUCUAACUGUACCUAUAAGAAAAUAGUGAUAACGAAAUAUUUAAAUGAAAAGGAAAUGGGCUAUCCCACAGAGAUUCAGUUAAUUACAUGCAGAAAAAGAUACUGUUCUCUGUAGAAGCCAUUUGUUUUCAGAAAUAAUUAAUUAAAAAUUAAUUUAAUCAUUAAUUAAAAAAUUAAAAGGCGCAUCUCAAGUUUCAAAUAAUAUACCUUGGAAUCAAUGACAGAUAAUGUCAAAAUAUUUCUAUUCUUUUGGAAGACUAAAAUGCUGGUUGCAAGGGAUAAUAAUGAACACCAUUCUUUAUCCAAAUGAUGGGAAAUACCAGUUUGUUAUCAUGUGUUUCUGAUUUCACACUUAAUAUAUUUUUUCACUCAUAGAAUAACUUUGACUUCUCAGUCCUGGCUUUGAAAAUUCAUGGUUUUAUUUCUGAUUCUUUAACGGUAAUGCUUUUCUUUAAUAUACUUGCCUUUGUUCUUUAUGUGAGUACCAGCAAGGCCUAUUACCAAGAUGAGAAAGACAGAAGAGUAGUCUUCUUGCAGUAUCUCUGUACUACUUCUGCAACUUUACUUACGCAGCCUUUGCUAAUCCAACUCUUGAGUCAAAGGAUUAAUAUAUUGUGGAUUUGUAAGUUUUCAAUGGUAUGGAGAGCUUCUACCUGAAAAGUCUUCUAAUGUCCGCGUGGGUUUGGAAAAGAUUUUUCUGUUUGUUUCCUGUAUGUUGUUGGAUUUUCAGACUAUUUUCUAUUUGGUAUUGUUACUUAGUAUCAAAUAGCUGCACCAAAUGAAAACCAGUGUAUUUUUGGUAAGGGAGGAACAGCAAGUUCUGGAGGGUUUAAAAUAGAUGACAUUUGAUACCAAUAAUAGCCCAGUGCAACUUAGCAGACCU
rnacentral:lncRNA from 1 species